UGCCAGCAGCCGCGGUAAUACGGAGGGUGCAAGCGUUAUCCGGAAUUAUUGGGCGUAAAGCGUCUGUAGGCGGACAAUUAAGUGUAAUAUUAAAGACAACAGCUCAACUGUUGCGUCGUAUCACAUACUGGUUGUCUAGAGGCUUGGAGAGGUUAGUAGAAUUCUACAUGUAGGGGUUAAAUCCGUAGAUAUGUAGAGGAAUACCAAAAGCGAAAGCAGCUAACUGGACAAGUUCUGACGCUCAGAGACGAAAGCGUGGGGAGCAAACAGGAUUAGAUA
rnacentral:rRNA from 1 species